UACGAAAGGUGCAAGCGUUAGUCGGAAUUACUGGGCGUAAAGCGCGCGUAGGCGGUGUGUUAAGUCGGAUGUGAAAGCCCAGGGCUCAACCUUGGAACUGCAUCCGAUACUGGCAUGCUAGAGUGCAGUAGAGGGAGGUGGAAUUUCCGGUGUAGCGGUGAAAUGCGUAGAUAUGUGGAGGAAUACCGAUGGCGAAGGCAGCCCCCUGGGUCGAUACUGACGCUCAUGCACGAAAGCGUGGGGAUCAAACAGG
rnacentral:rRNA from 1 species